rnacentral:RNase_P_RNA from 1 species
CGAGUCGGCCGGGUGGCCGCGGCAUGGCAGCGACCGUGUCGAGGAAGGUCGGGACUCCACAGGGCAGGGUGCUGGUUAACGGCCAGUCGGGGCGACCCGCAGGAAAGUGCCACAGAGAACAGACCGCCGAUGGCCCUCGGGCACAGGCAAGGGUGAAACGGUGCGGUAAGAGCGCACCAGCGCCCGGGGCGACCCGGGCGGCUCGGCAAACCCCACCCGGAGCAAGGCCAAGCGUGGGAAGGGCGGCCCGCCCGACUCCCCAGGUAGGCCGCACAGAUGGAUGGCCACCCCGCCCGCAAGGGCGGACAGAAUCCCGCCUACAGGCCGGCUCGCCAC